rnacentral:rRNA from 1 species
UUCUCCCUUUUGAGAAGGUCCGGAAGUACACUGAUUGCCGUACUACCCUGUUAAAGAAGGCGCCUGUGGAGUACGGGCGGAAGCCUAAACAACAAAGGAAUUGACGGGACCCGCACAAGGAGUGGAGCGCCUGGUUUAAUGCGAUGAUCAGCGGAAGAACCUCACCUAGGCUUGAACUGUAGCUGCAUUCUGUCAGAAACGACAGAAGCUUUCGAGGGUGCUAUAGAGGUGCUGCAUGGCUGUCGUCAGCUCGUGUCGUGAGAUGUAGGGUUAAGUCCCACAACGAGCGCAACCCCUACUCGAUGUUAAAAUUUCUUCGAGUACUGCCCAGCCCAAAGUUCAUAAAGUUUUUAAUAUGAAUUUUGGGCUGGGAGGAAGGAGGGACGACGUCCAGUCAUCAUAUCCCUUAUGUCUAGGGCUACACAGACGCUACAAUGGCCGUUAACAAUGGGUUGCCAAGCCGCGAGGCGGAGCUAAUCUCAUCAAAAGCGGUCUCAGUUCGGAUUGUAGGCUGCAAUUCGCCUACAUGAAGUCGGAAUUGCUAGUAAUCGUGCAUCAGCAUGGCACGGUGAAUACGUUCUCGGGUCUUGUACACACCGCCCGUCAGGGCAUGGGAGUUGCUCAUACUCGAAGUCCUGCAUCAGCAGGCCGAAAGUUAUGGGUGGCGACUAGGCUUAAGUCGUAACAAGGUAA